rnacentral:sRNA from 1 species
AUUAAUAUGUGCUACAUUUAAAUGACCAAUAACACAUGUAAAAACAAAUUUGUUAAUUUUCCUUUUGUUGAAUAAAAGUAAAAUUUAUAUAUAUAGAGAGAGACAUGUAAAUUAGAAUAUGUAAAUUUGUUUACUUUUUUAGAUUUUCUAUUUUUUUUAAGAGAACAAAAAGUUAAAUUUUUAAUGACACAUGUAAACAUCUGAUCUUUUGACUUGACACGUGGCACGAUCCUAUGAAUUAGUAACUUUGAAAACCAUAUUUUAUAUAAUAAGAUAGUAUAGUAUAAAAGUGAUGCUAUAAUAUUUUUCAAUGUUUUUACUAUUUGCAUAUAAGGCUGCAUUGGAUUGACUUUGUUUAAAAAUGUUAUUUUUAUAAUAAAUAU